CACGUAGGCGGACUCUUAAGUCGGUGGUGAAAUCCUGGAGCUCAACUCCAGAACUGCCUCCGAUACUGGGAGCCUUCGAGUCCGGGAGAGGUGAGUGGAACUGCGAGUGUAGAGGUGAAAUUCGUAGAUAUUCGCAAGAACACCAGUGGCGAAGGCGGCUCACUGGCCCGGUACUGACGCUGAGGUGCGAAAGCGUGGGAGCAAACA
rnacentral:rRNA from 1 species